GAAUCUUUAAAAAAAGGUUAUUUGAUAAUUCCUUUGUGAAGAACUUAUUAUGUUUCUUUAAAUCUAUUCCAGCACCAACAUACUCUGAAAUAAAGAAGUUCCAGACAUAGAGGAUGCUGGCGUUUCACAGAGCUUUCCAAGUGGCAAUUUUAUACAUCCUGUGCUCUGAUUCUAGAGACUCACAGGGAGAAUCAUUACAUUUUAAUUAUGGGUAUUUUAAGACUGAUGGGAUUUAAUAAAUCAUGAGACUUAAAAGAUGGACAAGUUAAUAAGGGAAAUAAAGAGGAAGAAAUACAAGACAGAGGAAGAAAACAUCCUUUUUGAAAAGAGUGAAAAGCCAAUCUCAGUUCACCCAGUGCUGUGUCUUGUUUUUCUUCCCCUUCUUUAUUUUUGGAACUCCUUUCAGGAUAAGUAAAGAGUAAUCUCCUGCAUCCCAGAUUAUAUCUGAAUUCUCAGACAUUUCCCAGUUACUCAGGAGUUCUCUGUGUUCCUAUCAAUUUCAAAAAUACCAUGCAAGAAAUUAGUCAAAACAAAUCAAGAAAUGAAAUUAAGAGGAAAUUGUGCUAAUUAAUUUCCCCCCUUUUCUUGUCACUAUCUUAUUAAAUGUGUGACUGCAUUGUAAAACUUAUUACAUACCACAUUAAUUGCUAUACUCAUAAUAGAGCUAUUUUUUAAAGAAAUCAUUUGUAGACUGGCUGAUUGUCUUGAAAUUUUGUUGCUUGAGAUAUAUUUGGAAGUAAUUUCUGACCCACGCAGGAGAGUAGUCCCACUAUUUUAUGAUGGCAUCUUAUUUUCUGACUCUCAGUCCCCAUCUGAUC
rnacentral:lncRNA from 1 species